rnacentral:rRNA from 1 species
GCCUUUAUGAGCAAGGGGCGUAAGGGUGUGUAGGCCGACUGCCCUACCCCCCCCAAGAUGGUAAAUGGAAUUUUUCUGUAGCGGUAGAAUGUGCGGAUAGAAAAUAGAACCCCAAAAGCUGAAGCAAUUUACCGCGGGGUGGGAGGGGGGCCCCCUGGGGCGCCCCCCGGGCUACGGGCUGAAACACGAGGGUGUGGGGAACAAACAGGAUUAGAGACCCUGGUAGUCCACACUGUAAACGAUGGAGAAAAUGCGAAUGCAGUCCCGAAAGGCAGCAAUCUCCCGCCUGAGUAGUACGAUCGCAAGAUUAAAAUUCAAAAAAUUUGGCUGUUCACCGUUUCGAUUAGAGGAGCGUGUAGUUUAAUUCGAUAAACCGCGAGAUACCUUACCCAAACUUGAAUCCUUGAGGGUUCUAAGGAAUCCUUAUGGACCGGUAUUGCAUGGCCGUCGUCAGUUCGUGUAUGAAACUUUAAACGGACCCAACCCGAGGAUUAGCCGCGGAUGAAGUCAGGUCUUAUGGUCCCAAUGUUUGGGGAUAAUAUGCGCUACAUUUUCUUAUACAAUGGGAAACCUGGGAGGUGAAACCCAAAAGUGAGAGUUCGGUAGGCUAUUGGAAGAUGGCCGAAAGUUGAAUUUAAUAGUAAUCGGAAAGUAUAGCGUUCCGGUGAAAUGGUCU